rnacentral:lncRNA from 1 species
UAAAUGACUACCGACCUGCUUCUUGAUCUGCCGGUGGAAAAUCUCCAAGAAUUGGGUUAAAAUACCCUCAAAUGGCAGCUAAGAAGGCUUCAUUUUUGUUAAAAAGUGUGCGAUUGAUCAAAUUCCAGGUGAAGGAAAGGAUUCGGGUGGCCUGUAGCUUGGUCGUCCCUCAACUCUCUUCUUAUCCCUGCUAGUUGUCUUCACUGAAAGUUUAUCCUUGACUUACUGAAAGUAUCUGGUGCUGAAGUGAUGAUCAUGUGUUGGCCAGGAUUCUAUCUUGAGAGAAAGCUGGACUGCUAGAGUUGCAGCUGGGUUGCCCUUCAUCGAUUCCACGGGUGGGUUCUUCCUCUGUUUUCUAAUAUUUUUAAUGGGUUUCUUAGACGGUUAUGGUGGUAGAGUUUGGAGGAAAUGGGAAUCUGGGUUUUGUGAUUUAAGUUUGAAGCUUGAUAUCUCUUAUAAGAAAGUUCUCUCCACGGAAGCCUUUUCUGAUAGCUAAUCAAAAUACUUUAGAUGCGUUCCUUGCAUGCUCAGUUAGUCAGUUAUACUAUUUUGAGUUUGUUUAUUCAUGAUUGAUUAGAAGUAGAGAUCUUGUUAAUCUUGUGAAGUUUGAGGAAGAUAAUCCAGAAGAAAUUUACUUUUUGCUUUAUUGAACUCUUUGGCUAAUUCUAACAAUUAGUUUCUCUAUUGACCUCUUGAAUUAAAUCUAUAAACUGUAGCAAUAAAAACCAUGUUAAACAAGUGCCAUCAUGUUCAAUGCAUAUAGUAUAUACAGAAACAAUGUUAAUGGGUUUGUUCCUGUUACAGUGCACACAAGGCUUCCUGAAGAUGUUUGGAAUAUCCCGCCCAUAAAAGAAACAUAUUCUCAGCUCCGAUUUCUUAACCAUGUCCAGAACUUUAUACCAGCAUGGUCCAGGAAACCAAAAUACAACAAUCUCCAACGUA